CGUGGUACUACAGAACCUAAAUGAUUCCCUCUGCCGUUUUAUAAAAAUAGGAUAACAUAAAACAAAAUAAUUUGCGAAUGCGUGGUGUACUACAGGACCUAGAUGAUUCCCUCUGCUUGUUAUGUGUUGAGGAGUGUGGCGAUCAUUUGUUAUUCUCUUGUUCUUUUUCAUUUGAGGUGUGGCUGGCGAUCUACUGUUGGUUUGGUGUCUUAACUAUUUUGUCAUCUUCCCCAAAAGACUCAUUUCGCCUCGUUCCCCUCACUUGGCAGGAAUAAGAUUGGUGGUGUAGAUGACCAUCGUUUGGUCAUUAUGGAUAAUAAGGAAUGACAUCAUAUUUAAGGAUGGAGAGAUCGACCAUGCUGUUACUGUGGAUUUAAUUCAGGCUCUUUUUUUGCAUUGGAUCGAAGCAAAGGUGGGGAGGCUUCCAUUAUUCUAUGUUUGAAUGCACACUGACUAUGAAUGGAUAAAGGGGGUAAAGGGAUUUCUAGAAAUGUGCGAUGAAGAACCAGAUGAGGAGGUUGCUGUGUUAAUUAAAGAAGAAAAAGAGAGUCAAGGUUUUCUAAAGGCGUGUGGGUGACUCGCCAACUGGGCCAGAAAUAAGCUCAAAUGAACUCAAAAGCCUUAUUUUUGCCCUCCCAAACGAAGAGGAACAAACAAAGAAAGUCCCAGGAUGAAAGCUUCGAUGAGAUCUGGGAGUUCUCCGGUGAGAGACCCCGGCCCUUUGGGUGUUAGCUUGAUGAACCAUAUUAAACUUGUUUUGUAAUAUAAUUAUGUUUUUAUCUAGAGACAUUAAACAAUGUAGCCACUUUGUUGUAACAUAUUGAUGUUUUUAUGUGGUGACUAGUACUAUUGAGCUAUGUCUUAUGUGGUAAAUGUUUGGCUAUAUAUAUGCGCAUUUUUGGAUGACCUGAAGUGGAAGAAGCAUAAUGACAUGAGUAAUUGUUCAUAUUCAGCAUGUUAGUAGCAUUUGAGUCAUUUUAAAGCUAUUUCAACAAUUUUAUUUGUAGGGCGUUGGAGUGGUCUAGAAUCGUAUUUACAAUGUGAAAAUAGAUGUUUGGUUUUCACAUGCAUGUUGUUAUAAAGUAUGUUAAAGUGAGUGUCAUUUUUGUUUUUCAUGUAUUUUUCGCGGUUUGUAGUAUUAUAAAAUUGAUCCACAAUGUAUUCUAUCAAUAAAUGAAAAUUUUAGUCUACCACAUGAGUCGUCACCACUUUAUGUUAUGUAUUCUACAUAAUGUCACUAUUUUAU